AUACGUAGGGGGCAAGCGUUAUCCGGAUUUACUGGGCGUAAAGGGCGUGUAGGCGGUCUUGCAAGUCAGAAGUGAAAUUCCUGAGCUCAACUCGGGCGCUGCUUCUGAAACUGCAGGACUUGAGUGCUGGAGGGGAUAGCGGAAUUCCUAGUGGAGCGGUAAAAUGCGCAGAUAUUAGGAAGAACACCGGUGGCGAAGGCGGCUAUCUGGACAGUAACUGACGCUGAGGCGCGAAAGCGUGGGGAGCAAACAGGAUUAGAUACCCUGGUAGUCCACACUGUAAACGAUGAAUGCUAGGUGUAGGGGGUAUCGACCCCUUCUGUGCCGCAGUCAACACAAUAAGCAUUCCGCCUGGGGAGUACGGCCGCAAGGUUGAAACUCAAAUGAAUUGACGGGG
rnacentral:rRNA from 1 species